UAAUCAUACCAAACCCUAAUUUUUUGAUACCAGCCGCUACUUAUGUCUUCCCCAGCCAACUUCUCUGUUUCCUCUGCACGUAUCAACCACACACACCAGCCAUCGCUUACCUCCUAAAAAUUGUCCUCACAUCCCUCUCACUUGGAAGACCGGCCGACCACCUCCUUUGUGGCGAUGCACGGCGGCUGUGGAAGAAGGACGACGGGCGGAGAUGGGCGGUAGUUAUCAGCGGCGGAGAAGGUGGUGGCAUAAGGAGGGAGAAUGGUCGUGGUGAUUUCUCUCCGCCGUCUCCCUCCCUCUCCUCACCGUCUCCUCGUCUCCUCCAGCUCCGAGGUGUUGUGGCCGAGAUUGUUGAUAAGGAAGUGGCUCAAUCGGUCUUCCAGAAGCUCCGAAUACGACGCUGAUUCGGAGGAUGAUGAUACUGCUUACGGAACCGACGGAGACGUUCUUUCAUACGUUUUGAUUCGGUGGUAUUUAAUUCGAGUUAGUUUCUGUUUAAACCAGCCGCAAUGAGGAAGGGAUUGGUACGUUUUCUUUGUCUUUUACUUGGUUCAACUUUCGAUAUAAAUUUUGCUCAAGAACCACAUAUCUACGUUUCGAGUUAGUAUAGUUUUUAACAUAGCAUUUUUUGGGCUAAAAUAGAAUAUGUUUUCAUUCGACAGUAUAAAUUCCAGUUACUCUAUUUCGACGUAAAUUUAGUUCGGAAAGAGUCAAGUACGCCGCCGCAACGCGCGACGGGUACAAAUACUAGUUUAAUAUGGUUUCAAAAGAUAGAACGUGGGAUGUGUAGUUUUUUUUGGGUAAUUAAUGUUUUUUCAACAUAGGGAUCGUGGCCAAUAGUCUUCCUAGAAUGUUGGAUGACCAGGUCAACAUAACUGUUCCUUCUAGAAGGUUUUGGGUAUUUUAAAUGGCUGAGAUUUAAUCUCAGCUUGAUCAACGGGCUCUGAUUGCUUAUUGUUCCCAUUGACUUUAAUGGGAACAUAAGAAUAUAUAAUACAACAGAAAACUCGAAUUAUUUGUUAAUCGUAAGUUGUUUUACUUCUAGAUGAAGUGGUAUUUGUGUUUUUUACAUGAACAUAUAUAUUUGCUUCAAACCUUUAAAGUGUUUAUGAGAUAUAUGUUGUAUCUCACAACACAAAGUUUUAUUUCUAACUUGUAGUUUUCAUUUUACUUGGGUGCCAUCCUCAAUUGUAUUCUUGGAUACGAGUUCUCUUAACAUAUUCUUCGAAUAUAGUUGUUAUUGUUUGGUUAGUAGUUGAAAAUUUGAAAUUUGAAAUUACAAUCAAUAACACAUGAAUUCAUAAUCCUAAACAUUUCAUUUAGCAAAACUCAUAUGCGUGAUUUACAGUUACAUUGGAUUUAAUAUACGGUUCCUAAACAAUUUACUGGCUAAAAGGUCUCCAAAUAAUUAAAAAAAAAAUAAUCUAAAGAAGAUUACCUAAAGAUAUGUUUCAAAUAUACAAAUAGUGUUCAUAGCUUCUUUAUUUACUUUGAUUUUCAUAAUUCUCAGCACUAACACUUUAUUAGCUACAACACACCCCUCGAAAGCUACCUUUCUUCAGUAGUAAAAGUAGUAGCACAUUGGUAGCAACCUUCUGUACAUAUAGCCUUAAUGAACUCUGAUGAUAGAUGGGACUCGAUGGGAGGAGAUCAUAAAGAUUUUGCGGUGAAGGCUGUUAAAGAACUUUUGGGCAGCAGUAUUGAUUAUAGCGACAGGUUUGUCAUCCAAUGGUCAAGCACUUCAAAUAAGGAUCCAUGCUCCUUAAUAAUCCAUGUAACACACUAGGCAAAUCUCAUGUUAGCCAAGGACAUGAGAGACAGUGGCGAAGCUUGACAAUAAAGACAGGGGGUCGAAAACGUAUAUACCAAAAAAUUUCUAUAAAACUGGGGGGUCGAAAACGUAUAUACGCAAAAAUUUAUAUACGAAAACUAAAUAUAUAACACUACUAAGCAAAAAGUUCACGGGGUCAGGCGCCCCCCCCCCCCCCCCCCGGCCGGCCCCUCUUAAGUUGCGCCCUUGAUGAGAGACUAUUGGUUUACAAGAAAUGAUUAGUCUGAAAUAUCACUAAUGCGUUUUAGGCUUAUACUAAUGGACGAGAGGAGAAUUCCUCAAUUAAGCGCGCUCACGUGUGAGUAAUAUAGGGGUGGGUAACCACCUGGGAAGUCUCAACUUAUGCAACAAAAAACAAAUGUGUGAGCUUUUCGUGCGCAAGCGGACAAUAUUGGUGGUAUGGGAGGAUGAAUGUUAUAAUUGGUAUUAGAGUCACUCAUGUCUCUUCGCUAUGGUGAGACAAACUUCUUCGGGAAUGAUGAGUCCCCAUGAGUUUAGGAGGAUACCUUAGGACGCUCACUCCAAUAAGCCAAAGAAGGGAGGGGGCGAUUGUCAUUGUAACAUUUUAGGAAAAUAUUACAUUGGACGUGAAAAUGAGAUAUUAUUGGUUCAUAAGGAAUGCCCUAUCUCAAACAUCACCUAUUGGGCUUAUUGCUAGUUGUUGAGAUCAUAACACUACAGUUAAACGUGCUUAGGUGAAAGUAUUAUCAGGAUGGGUGACCUUUUGCGAAGUUUCGACUUGGGGAACUAGAAACAAUUCCAUGGGCUCUACGUGGUUAAAGCAGAUAAUAUUAUUGGUACGUGAGACCGGAUGUUACAAACCAGAUCCUUAUUACUUGCAUGUUCUCAUUUAUUGGUGAGGGAAUUCUUUGCUUUCACAGAGUUCGUACUCGAGUUCUUCAAAAGGUUUGGACAAUGCGUACAUUCAUCAAUUCUCUGGAGUUUUAUUCAUUUGCGUAGUUAAUUGUUUCAAUGGCACAUUUGCAUAUAAGUCAAUCGUUGCUUAGCCACUUCUUGUUUAAACAUUUCUUCAGUAGUUGAAAUUUAAUUAAUUAAGAAAACAAUAUGUAGCUCUAACAAAGUGGGGUUCGUGCUUACUAAAUUUUGACUCCCACUUAAUGCAACCAUUUUCUUAGUUUUGAAAAAAAAAAUAUAAAUUCUAUUAAAUAGGUUAUUAACCCAAGUGACGGUGCAUAUCUUUGAUAACAAAGAUAAAAGCCAAAUUUUCUAGUGGCUUGAUAUCCUGAUGAUAAAAAAAAUACCUACGUGUCGCAAAGAAGGAAACAAAUAGUAUAGGUGUAACAACUUUUGUCAAAAUUAUUAUUUCUUAAUUUAUUAUGUCCAAUAAGAAACCUUAAUUGAGACCCCCAAGUAAUAUUGCAUGACCCCUAAAAUUUUCAGAACAGUUGGAACUAGGAUCAGAGCCCCUAAAACUCAGGGGGGUAUUCCCUAAUUGAUAUUAUCUUCCCAGUUUGCUGUAAAAUUCGAAUUUCGUCGAUUUGUUGACACACCUAGGUUACAAAUACACGAAGCUACCCUACCCUAAAAGUGUACCCGUCGCGCCACGCGACAGGGACGGUUUUUCAGUAUAAAAUCCAGGGGUUUGGCACUUGCAUGGCUGCGUUGGUUCGACGUUCAAACUCGUUUUGUACACUGAGUUAUUCACUUUUUCGUUCAAAAACACACACUAGCACGAAUCUCUGCUACGACAAUAGGGUAAUAACUCGAUCACUACUACGAUACAAUGUCCGAUCGAUUGAAACCGAUCCGAUGAAUGUUUAAGUGCUGCCCGAAUCCGGGCUAUACUUUGUGA